rnacentral:rRNA from 1 species
AUACGGAGGAUCCGAGUGUUAUCCGGAUUUAUUGGGUUUAAAGGGUGCGCAGGCGGAAGAUUAAGUCGGCGGUGAAAUUUUGCAGCUCAACUGUAAAAGUGCCUUCGAAACUGGUUUUCUUGAGUGUAGAUGAAGUAGGCGGAAUUUGUGGUGUAGCGGUGAAAUGCUUAGAUAUCACAAAGAACACCAAUUGCGAAGGCAGCUUACUGGGAUACAACUGACGCUGAGGCACGAAAGCGUGGGGAUC